GUUUUUCUGUGAUUGGUAUGCAGAAGCUCACAGAACCUCAUCGAAGCAUUACUGGAUAUAAAAUAAAAAAAUGUCGAAAAUAAUUUUAUUAUUAUCAAUUUUCGUAUUGAUUGGUCUCUAUGUUGGUGCAGCUACAGCUGCAGGCUGUGAUGGCAAGUGGUGCCAUCCAUCACAAGGAUACAAAUGUUGUGCAGGACAUUCAUGCAGUGCGUAUGCUUGGCAAGGUACAUGCAAAAAUGAUAAUCAAGUUGCAGCAGAUCAAAUGGCGGCAGCACCCACGGGAAAAUAAUUAUAACAUACAGUGAAGAUUAAUAAAUGCAUUGUAUCAAUUAAUAAAAAUCUUUUGUUGACAAACAAAA